rnacentral:rRNA from 1 species
AUUGAACGCUGGCGGCACGCCUAACACAUGCAAGUCGAGCGGUAACAUGGUUUGUAGCAAUACAAACUGAUGACGAGCGGCGGACGGGUGAGGAACACGUAGGAACCUGUCUUUCAGAGGGGGACAACCAAGGGAAACUUUGGCUAAUACCGCAUAAUCUCGAAAGAGCAAAGCUGCCCGCAAGGGUGGCACUGAAAGAGGGGCCUGCGUCCGAUUAGCUAGUUGGUAGGGUAAAAGCCUACCAAGGCGAUGAUCGGGAACUGGUCUGAGAGGACGACCAGUCCCACUGGGACUGGGACACGUCCCAGCCUCCUACGGGAGGCAGCAGUGGGGAAUAUUGGACAAUGGGGGCAACCCUGAUCCAGCGAUGCCGCGUGGGUGAAGAAGGCCUUCGGGUUGUAAAGCCCUUUAGACUGGGAAGAAGGUUACAGGCUGAAUAAUCCUGUAGCUUGACGGUACCGUAAGAAUAAGCACCGGCUAACUACGUGCCAGCAGCCGCCGUAA